GACGAACGCUGGCGGCGUGCUUAACACAUGCAAGUCGAGCGGUAAGGCCCUUUCGGGGGUACGACGAGCGGCGAACGGGUGAGUAACACGUGGGUGACCUGCCCUUAGCUCUGGGACAAGCCGUGGGAAACUGGGUCUAAUACCGGAUAUGACUCCAUGACGCAUGUUGUGGGGUGGAAAGCCUUGUGCGGCUAGGGAUGGGCCCGCGGCCUAUCAGCUUGUUGGUGGGGUGAUGGCCUACCAAGGCGACGACGGGUAGCCGGCCUGAGAGGGGCGACCGGCCACACUGGGACUGAGACACGGCCCAGACUCCUACGGGAGGCAGCAGUGGAGAAUCUUGCGCAAUGGGCGAAAGCCUGACGCAGCGACGCCGCGUGAGGGAUGAC
rnacentral:rRNA from 1 species